CCUACGGGAGGCAGCAGUGGGGAAUAUUGCACAAUGGGGGGAACCCUGAUCCAGCGACGCCGCGUGGGUGAAGAAGCGCCUCGGCGCGUAAAGCCCUUUCAGCAGGGAAGAAAAUGACGGUACGUGAAGAAGAAGCCCCGGCUAACUACGUGACAGCAGCCGCGGUAAGACGUAGGGGGCAAGCGUUAUCCGGAUUUACUGGGUGUAAAGGGGGCGCAGACGGCGAUGCAAGCCAGGAGUGAAAGCCCGGGGCCCAACCCCGGGACUGCUGUUGAAACUGCGUGGCUUGAGUGCAGGUGGGGCAGGCGGAAUUCCUGGUGUAGCGGUGAAAGGCGUAGAUAUCAGGAGGAACACCGGUGGCGAAGGCGGCUUGCUGGACUGCAACUGACGUUGAGGCCCGAAAGCGUGGGGAGCAAACAGGAGUAGAUACCCUAGUAGUC
rnacentral:rRNA from 1 species